rnacentral:rRNA from 1 species
AACUCUUAGCGGUGGAUCACUCGGCUCGUGAGUCGAUGAAUGAACGCAGCUAGCUCGAGAUAUAAUGUGAAUUGCAGGACACAUGAUCAUUGACACUUCGAACAGCAAUUUGCGGCCCCAGGUUCCUCUGGGGCUACGCCUGUCGAGGGUCG